rnacentral:RNase_P_RNA from 1 species
GAAGCCCGCCAGGCCGUCGCUGGUGCAAGGGCCGAAAGGCCGCACUGGAGGAACGUCCGGACUGCACAGGGCAGCGUAGGAGGUAACGCCUCUCCGCCGCGAGGCGAGGAUCAGAGCAACAGAGACGAGUCGGCGUGCCGGGGUGGUGCGAAAGCAUCUCCGCGGCGCGCCGGGUGAAACGGGCAAUCUCUACGCGCAGCAAUACCAAAUAGGCCAGCGUCGAUGUGGCUCCGCGGAGCUGGCGGGUAGGUAGCACCGAGCCGGUGGGGCGACCCCCGGCCCAGAGGAAUGACGGUCACGCGCGAGCUUUCUCCGGAAGGCCCGCGUGCACAAAAUCCGGCGUAUCGGCGGGCUUCACAC